AUCGUCAGAGCCAUUUGCCUCCUUCUGAUCCACUGACCAGCCGCUCAACAUGCAGCCCAAAGGAGUCUCUCUCACCAUGAAGUUCCUGCUGCUGUCCUGCAUUAUGAGCAUGGUCCUCGCUGUCACCAGCGCACAGCUUGACAGCAGCGAAAGCUCUGCUUCAGACAGCUUGGAAGAGCACCCACAAGAAGAAACAGACACUUCUGCUGUUCUCCAGCUCCUGCGACUCCUCAGCAACCCUCGCCGACCUGGUUUGCUGCGAGUCUGAGAUACCUCUCUGGACAACUGAGGCCGCCUCCUACAAAAUACUGCUGCUCCUCGAUCAUCUUCUGCUUCGUUCAGCUCCUUCAUGCCUUUUAUCACCAGCACACUGAAACCACAGAUCAGCAAUGAGGUUCCUG